AGGGGUUUCAUCCAAUGGUAAGAUAUCGGUCUCCAAAACCGCUCAUGGGGGUUCGAAUCCCUCAACCCCUGCGA
rnacentral:tRNA from 1 species